UUGGGGUUAGCAGAUACACAUUACUAUCCAUAAAACAGAUAAGAAGGACUUUCUGUAUAGCACAGGAAACUUUAUUUAAUACCUUGUAAUAACAUAAUGGAAAAGGAUCUGGAAAGGAAUAGAUACACGUAUAUGUUUAACUGGAUCACUUUGCAGUACACUAGAAAGUAACAACAUUGUAAAUCAACUAUACAGGUCAAUUAAAAAAAAAAAAAAACCUCACUAAAUGCUCCCAGCUUGUUGGAACUCAAGGUGGUCACCACUGGGUUCAGGGACUCCAGAGUAUGCAGUGAAUGGCAUUUGGAAUACAGCAUGGUAGAGCUGACCAAGGUCCCCUCAGGAUCACCAGCUUCCCCCUGCCUCAGGGCUACCUCCAAACAAUUGCUCGCCAACAAUAAAAAACCUAGAUCUUUCCCAUGGCCUGUGGGAUCUCCCUGACCUGCCAAACUCCCUCAGGCCUCCCGCCACACUCUUGCUCAGGUCUUCAGCCACACUCCUCUUCUCCGGUUCCCUCUCAGAGCCCUUACCUUUUUGAGGCCUCGUCCUUGCUUCUUCAUCCAGAUAAGCUAUUUCUGUGACGUGAUCUUGCCACCUUAAAUGCCACUUCCCUAAAUUUGGAGGCCUUCUCUAAGCAGUAGUUGUUGCGUUGCUCAGUCGUAUCUGACUCUUCGGCCCCAUGGACUGUAGCCCACCAGGCUUUUCUGUCCAUGGGACUUUCCAGGCAAGAAUACUGGAGUAGGUAGCCAUCUCUUCUCCAGAAAAUCUUUCCAACCCAGGGAUCAAACCCAGGUCUCCUGCAUUGGCAGGCAGAUUCUUUACCACUAAGCCACCAGGGGAGUGCCCUUCCCUAAGUAGCAGCUCUAAAAUACCUUCCCCAGACCCUCCUCACACAGGCCUGUCUCUUAACUUGGCUUUAUUUUCCCUUGUAAGAGUUUCAUUGUUAUGUAUUUAUUUUGUCUCCCACCUAGAAGACUGAGGGCUUUUUCUCUUGCCUGGCACAUAGGAGAGUCUCAGAUGUUUGAAUAAAUGACUUUGUGAAUGAAUGGACAGGAGAUGAUUAGCAUGAAGUUCGCUCACACCAUCUCUGAGUGGGGUGGGAGGCUGUAGUCAUCUUGUCCUUCACAAGAAGGACACCAUCCUGGAAGAGAAUGUAAAAGAAGAAUGUCUAUAUUUAUGUAUAUGUGUAACUGAACCACUAUGUUAUAUACCUGAAACUAACAUGACAUUGUAAAUCAACUGUAUUUCAAUAAAAAAAUUUUAAAAAGGCACUA
ensembl:lncRNA